rnacentral:lncRNA from 1 species
AAAAACACCACUAGAGAAUACCUUGGAAUAAAGUUUGCAUUUGGUUUUCCUUGAUGUGUGAUAGCUCGAUUAUUGGUAGCCAUUUUGACCUCAUCUUGACUGAUUUUCGACUCAGUUUGACUGGUUUUUUGUUCCCUUGUGGUGAUUGGCUGAUGAGAGUAAGGAAUUCAUGUUUUGUUCUCUAGAACGGACCGUUUCGGUUCGUUUCGCUUGUUUUCUCAUGUUUCAUUGAGAUUUUAGGUAUUCGUUGGAAAAAGGAUGUCGAUACGAAGCCAACGAGACCAAUCAGGUGUCAAACAGAGGUCGGACGAGCGAGAUAUGUAUGAAAGAAGAAAGUGACCCCGGUCUGGUUAAAGGAACACAUGACGUGUGGUCUAUGGAAACAUCAUACAUUAUG